UAAAACCAGACUUGCUCUUGAUCCAGUGAUUAUAACUUUUUUCUCUCUGGAAGUGAUAAAAUCUUUGUUCCAGGAAUUCUGAAAUGUCAUAAUCAUGUGUUCCGGGCUUUUGCUCCUGUCUCAUCCCAGUUUUCUUAAAUGAGAGUCUACUUCUCACAGCCCAGAUACGAUUUCAUGUACUCAAGACAGAGCCUUCCAGGACAUCCUAUUGGAAUAGGAUGCCGUUUGCCCUCAACUGUAACACUUGGACAGUGUUAGGAUUUUAUCUUCAACUGUCUUCUCUUCUAGAGUUUAUUUUCAGGGUGCGAGACAUGGGCGGGCACAUUUAAUUAUGACGCCAGGACCCAGGGAGCAUGGGAGUGUGCAUGUGUGAACGCUCACUCUUGUGCCUAGUGAUGGCUAAAAGGAUGGCAUCACUCUGAGACCGACUAUGGCAGGAGGACCACUCUGAGGUAAGACUGCAAGAUGACAGGAGACUGACAGAGAAAGAGAACAAAGAUUUGCAGGGGUUUGGGGGCUCGGUUUCCUGCCUGCCUCCCAGCCUCCCUGCCCGCCCUGCCUGUCUUCUUGCAUGCCAGCCUCCCUACCAGCGUGCCUGGUUCCUCAGAAAGCAUUAAAA